GCCACUGAAGACGUGAGACGUCCUCGGUUCCUCCUCACACGGGAACCUUGCUGACAGCUGGCUCUGUUUUUCCCCUCCAAGCAUAGUACUUAUUAACUUUAUGGGUCAUUUUACAAGUUUCUCAGCAGUUUGCAUGACUAGUCCUUUUUGUUCAGGUUUUGGGUCCCUCCUUUAAGAUAAAUUAAAAAUUAAUC